UCGGGAAUUUUGGGCAAUGGGCGAAAGCCUGACCCAGCAACGCCGCGUGAAGGAUGAAGUAUUUCGGUAUGUAAACUUCGUAAGAAUAGGAAGAAUAAAUGACGGUACUAUUUGUAAGGUCCGGCUAACUACGUGCCAGCAGCCGCGGUAAUACGUAGGGACCAAGCGUUGUUCGGAUUUACUGGGCGUAAAGGGUGCGUAGGCGGCAUAUCAAGUCACUUGUGAAAUCUCCGGGCUUAACUCGGAACUGCCAAGUGAUACUGAUGUGCUAGAGUGCAGAAAGGGCAACUGGAAUUCUUGGUGUAGCGGUGAAAUGCGUAGAUAUCGGAAGGAACAUCAGUUGCGAAGGCGGCUCUCUGGACUCAAACUGACGCUGAGGCACGAAAGCGUGGGUAGCGAACAGGAUUAGAUACCCUCGUAGUCCCUGAGCGGGCUGGCAAGGCGCAU
rnacentral:rRNA from 1 species